rnacentral:rRNA from 1 species
GACGAACGCUGGCGGCGCGCUUAACACAUGCAAGUCGAACGGAAAGGCCUGCUUUCCCUUGUGGAUUGCGGGUACUCGAGUGGCGAACGGGUGAGUAACACGUGAGUGAUCUGCCCCCAACUUGGGUAUAAGCCUGGGAAACUGGGUCUAAUUCCCGAUAGGACUGCAGGGUGGUGCCUGUGGUGGAAAACGAUUUUCUAGUGGUUGGGGAUGAGCUCGCGGCCUAUCAGCUUGUUGGUGGGGUAAUGGCCUACCAAGGCGGCGACGGGUAGCCGGCCUGAGAGGGUGGACGGCCACAUUGGGACUGAGAUACGGCCCAGACUCCUAGGGGAGGCAGCAGUGGGGAAUAUUGCACAAUGGGCGGAAGCCUGAUGCAGCGACGCCGCGUGGGGGAUGACGGCCUUCGGGUUGUAAACUCCUUUCGACCGCGAGGAAGCCACCUGGUUGGAAGGGUGGUGACGGUAGUGGUAGAAGAAGCACCGGCUAACUACGUG